AUGCUCGCUUCCGUAGCACAUAUACUAAAAUUGGAACGAUACAGAGAAGAGUAGCACAGCCCCUGCGCAAGGAUGGCACGCAAAUUCAUGAAGCAUUAAAAAAAAUAUUU